UUCAACGGCCGCGGUAUUCUAACCGUGCAAAGGUAGCAUAAUCACUUGUUCUCUAAAUAAGGACUUGUAUCAACGGCACCACGAGGGCCACACUGUCUCCUUUCUCUAAUCAGUGAAACUGAUCUCUCCGUGAAGAAGCGGAGAUACACCCAUAAGACGAGAAGACCCCAUGGAGCUUUAAACCCAAAAGCAACCACACACCAUAACUCCCUAACACUUAUUAAACCUGCUUAUUGGUUUUAGGUUGGGGCGACCACGGAGAAAAAUCUAACCUCCACGAUAAAUGGGACUUAUUAUUUACCCCCUUAUCCAAGAACAACAACUCUAAGAAUCAACAGUUUGAUAUAAAAUGAUCCGAUAUCAAUAUUCGAUCAACGAACCAAGUUACCCUGGGGAUAACAGCGCCAUCCAUUUUAAGAGCCCCUAUCGACAAAUGGGUUUACGACCUCGAUGUUGGAUCAGGGUAUCCUAGUGGUGCAACCACUACUAACGGUUCGUUUGUUCAACGAUUAAAACCCUACGUGAUC
rnacentral:rRNA from 1 species